GACGUAGGGUGCGAGCGUUGUCCGGAUUUAUUGGGCGUAAAGAGCGUGUAGGCGGCCAGGUAGGUCUGCUGUGAAAACUCGAGGCUUAACCUCGAGAUGUCGGCGGAAACCAUCUGGCUAGAGUCCGGAAGAGGAGAGUGGAAUUCCUGGUGUAGCGGUGAAAUGCGCAGAUAUCAGGAAGAACACCCGUGGCGAAGGCGGCUCUCUGGGACGGUACUGACGCUGAGACGCGAAAGCGUGGGGAGCGAACAGG
rnacentral:rRNA from 1 species